rnacentral:rRNA from 1 species
AGAUUCAUCGUCAGCGGCGCUGGCUUCGCGUCGGUGGGCGAUGUCCCGCGGAGUCCUCGCGGCUCGCGCGCGGGCACGCUACCGUGCGUCGAUGUCCGGCGCUCGUCGUCGUGCACUUCUCCCCAAGUAGAACGUCGCGACCCGCUGGGUGUCGGUCUACGGCCCGGGUGCGGUGACUGUCGCGUCGCCGGUAAAACGGCACGCGACAAACCCCCGGUCGCCCGGCCGGCUGCUCGGCGGUACGCGCAUGGUAUCAGGCCGCACUAUUUUACGGUGCGUCGAGGCCGUCGCAAGCGCGCGCCACGGUACUCGGAGGUUACGGACUUUGCGCCGUCCCCGGUCCUGGUCCGCUGUUGGUUAAAGUACGGUUCACCUUCGACAGGCCUGCGAACGUCUCUCCCCGGAGAGACCGAUACCGGUCGGCGACGCUACUGCUUUGGGUACUCUUAGGACCCGUCUUGAAACACGGACCAAGGAGUCUAACAUGUACGCGAGUCAUUGGGACUUGUCGCGAGACCUAAAGGCGUAAUGAAAGUGAAGGUCGGCCCUGGCCGUCGACCGAGGGAGGAUGGGCCGCGUCGCGAUGCGGCCUCGCACUCCCGGGGCGUCUCGUUCUCAUCGCGAGAAGAGGCGCACCCAGAGCGUACACGUUGGGAC